CUUUGCAAUCUCUUUUCCACGCCAUGCCUGAAAAUAAUUUAGCUGGAUCCCAUACUCUUGUUUGAUGUCAUUUACAAUAUCCUUAGGCUUGUAAUUUGGAAAAACUUUCAACUUUUCCUUGAUGAUGCUAGCCACCCAGCUUCGAGUUGCCUGAUGCCCUGUUGUCACUACAGACCCUUCACAUGUAUGCGUUGGAUUCAUCUUCUUAAUACAGAUUAGUUGAGUGGUUGACAAUCUUGAUGCAUG
rnacentral:misc_RNA from 1 species